CCGGCACCAGUUGGAGGAGUCACAUACCACCACUAGGUGGCACUAAAAGUAACAAAGUACCCAAUUCGCAAACCCCAGGUCCAUUUUGAAUGACUAGAAACCAAGACUGGGCAGAUGUUUGCCAGUUGGAGGUCAUUAUGCUUCCUGCUACCUUCAGGGACAUCUUCUACCUGCUGGUGAUUAGUGGCUUCAACAACUCUAUUUGGCAAUUAAAAGAUGACUAUCAUACUAACAUUUCCCUGCAUCAUAACAUAUACCCAGUGAGUAAGGUAUACUAAUUGAACAUUGUUGCACUAGGAGACCCUGCUGGGGUCAAAAGAAACAGUGUAACUGGGCAGAUCAUAGAUCCAUGAGUGUUAAUAAGUAGGUUGAAAUUGGGGGAGAAUAUAUCAGCCCCAAAAAGCAUAAUACUCUCCACGUUCAGAAGACAGUAAGUCUUCCUGAGGAAAUAUUUAAUCCAGGCCUGCAUGAAAGUUUUCUGUGUAAAUGGUAUGCUAUAAGGCAUUUCUGGUCACGAGGACUGCAAAAGCAGAGGCGGUAUGUAUGGGCAAAGGGGGAGAAAUGAUUGAGUGUGGAAGUAGAGACCCACUCCUCCUGGAGACUGGAGAACACAGCGUGUCUACCACUAAUGUAACCUUUCCCUUCUCUCUCUUGAAGUCACCACACUAUCUCCAAAGACUGAGGCCCCUCCAGUUCACCAGCCCUCCACCAACACUUCAGUAAGCCGCCAUCCCAGAGUUUAUGGAGCAUCUUCUGAAACACCUACCAAGCCCUCAGCGCUCCUGCCAGCUACCACAGCCUUCAAAACCUCUGCUCGGCAAGCAUCCAGGCUCCUCGAGGCCAGCUACAGCCACCACACCAGACUUCAUGGGGAAAGGACACCCCACUACGGUUCACAGUAUGGGAGAGAAGACCGAGGGCUUCACAUCUCCAUCCCAGAAUUUCACAUUCUGAUUCCGACCUUCCUGGGCUUCCUCUUGCUGGUUCUUUUGGGACUGGUGGUAAAACGAGCCAUUCAAAGGAGGAGAGCCUUCUCCAGGCGCGUAGGCCGAAUGGCGAGGAGAAUGCGAGGCCGGGGGCCUUCCCGCCAGAUCCCUACACAGCGCCGGGAUGCCCCGCAGAGGCCGCGCUCGCAGAACAACGUCUACAGCGCCUGCCCGCGGCGCGCACGGGAACCCGACAACGUGGGUGAGCGCACACACCAGCGAGGCGUGGAGAAUGAGGCCAGCCGGGAACCGGGGACAGGUAAUUGAAACUUCUUGGCCCCACACCCCGUCUCUGAAGAUGAGCUGUGAAUACGUGAGCUUGGGCCACCAGCCUGCUGUCAACGUAGAAGACCAGGAUUCAAACGAUUACAUCAAUAUUCCUGGCCUACCUCAUCUCCCUAGCAAGCCCCCAGGGCCCAGACCUUCACGCCAAUGAAUCCUAUCUGUUUGCUGAUGCCUAGCACUUUUUCCUUACAGGAUCCCUGUCACCUCGUAUGUCCUAUCCCCUAACUCAACUCUUGCCUGACUGAAUGCCUUGAGAAUAGUCAAUUACAAGCGAAUUUCUCACCCCC
rnacentral:lncRNA from 1 species